CCCUUUGGAAAGGAAUAGCCUCGGGAAACUGGGAGUAAUGCCUUAUAAGAUACGUUUGUCGCAUGGCAUUUGUAUUAAACGCUCCGGCGCCAUAGGAUGGACCCGCGUCCCAUUAGCUAGUUGGUGAGAUAACAGCUCACCAAGGCCACGAUGGGUAACCGGUCUGAGAGGGCGAACGGUCACACUGGAACUGAGACACGGUCCAGACUCCUACGGGAGGCAGCAGUGGGGAAUAUUGCGCAAUGGGGGCAACCCUGACGCAGCAAUACCGCGUGAGUGAAGAAGGUUUUCGGAUCGUAAAGCUCUGUUAUUGGGGAAGAAAAAAAGACGGUACCCAAGAAGAAAGUUCCGGCUAACUACGUGCCAGCAGCCGCGGUAAUACGUAGGGAACAAGCGUUGUCCGGAUUUACUGGGCGUAAAGGGCACGCAGGCGGUUUUUUAAGUCAGAUGUGAAAGGCCACAGCUCAACUGUGGACAUGCAUUUGAAACUGAAAGACUUGAGUAUUGGAGAGGCAAGUGGAAUUCCUAGUGUAGCGGUGAAAUGCGUAGAUAUUAGGAGGAACACCGGUGGCGAAGGCGGCUUGCUGGACAA
rnacentral:rRNA from 1 species